rnacentral:misc_RNA from 1 species
CCAAUAGCGUAUAUUAAAGUUGUUGUGGUUAAAAAGCUCGUAGUUGAACCUUGGGCCUGGCUGGCCGGUCCGCCUCACCGCGUGUACUGGUCCGGCCGGGCCUUUCCCUCUGUGGAACCUCAUGCCCUUCACUGGGUGUGACGGGGAAGCAGGACUUUUACUGUGAAAAAAUUAGAGUGCUCCAAGCAGGCCUAUGCUCGAAUACAUUAGCAUGGAAUAAUAAAAUAGGACGUGCGGUUUUAUUUUGUUGGUUUCUAGGACCGCCGUAAUGAUUAAUAGGGACAGUCGGGGGCAUCAGUAUUCAAUUGUCAGAGGUGAAAUUCUUGGAUUUAUUGAAGACUAACUACUGCGAAAGCAUUUGCCAAGGAUGUUUUCAUUAAUCAGGAACGAAAGUUAGGGGAUCGAAGACGAUCAGAUACCGUCGUAGUCUUAACCAUAAACUAUGCCGACUAGGGAUCGGACGAUGUUAUUUUUUGACUCGUUCGGCACCUUACG